AAACCGGACCGUGGCCACCCCUAUAAGUUGUAAUGGUGAUGUGCCUAUGAGUCUUGGGUUCUGUUUUAGCAGUUGCUCCUAGGAAUCACCCGAUGCUAAAAUUGAGGGAUGAGUUGUGACACUCACUAGAAAAAGAGAAAAUGCUAGGAAAAUUGGUCUAAUUAUGGAAAAGGAGAUUCUCUAUUUUGGUGCUAAAAAAACGGUGAAAGGGAGGUUCGUUCUUUUAAGAAGGCUUUGAGGAGGUUUA
rnacentral:misc_RNA from 1 species